rnacentral:lncRNA from 1 species
UAAGAUGUACUUAAUACAUGAACUGAACAUUGUGUACAAGAGUAGUUAAUAAAAAUAAUAGUCAAUUACAUCAUAUAAUUGGGUUCUAUACUCUUUUGCGUAUAUAUCGUGAAUGCUACCCCUUUGUGAUCAACUCUUUGUCCUCCUAAUCAAAUGGCACAGCUACUGCCCCUUAUGGAAAAAGAAAGGACUCUGUAAUACUCAUAAAUGUAAAAGAAAAACAUCAUGUGAUGCAUCUCAACCUGCGCAGAACAAUGUAGAAACAUACAUGCUGUCUACAUACUCUCAUUGUCUAGCAAAGCAUAAGUAGCUGAGGGACCCUGUAUAGAAGAAUUGACAAUUAGCAAGAAAGAAGCAUGCCAUCAGCUGUCUAGACAACCAUAAAACAAUAAGUGGCAAAAGCCCCAUCAGAUUUAGCAUUUGCCAUCCAGUUUAUGAGCUAAAGUUCAGCAUUCACCAAUCGAUAGAACAUAUUAAGCAUCAGCUAUAAAACAAACCCUAUUUUCCUAAUAAGACAACAUAGAUAUGAAAGUGGCUCCUUCUCCGCCACACCCCCUUCUCCCCUUCACGCCCCUCCUUCCUGGUUCUCCACUCGGCGAAGCAUCGGAGCUGGCGACCAGCGGGAGGCAGGGAUUGAUUUAACCAGACAAUAAAGAACGCCGCUCUUAGGCUUUCCGGUAAUGAAACUAAGCUAAACAGAAUCCCUUGAUUAAUCCGACGCAGCCACCAGCCCACCAAGUUCCAAACAGCAACAGAAGGAGACACAGAGAGAAAGAUAUAGGCGGCUUGUGUGUCCUAACCAUGAACUGGUCGAGCUCGCACCAUUAUCUCCAGCGGCACGGUCAGAGCAUUGAUCAUCAUUCUUACUCCAGUAUUCAACAUCAACAAUGAGUCUGCACCUACACCUUGACAUACCCCUGAAAGCGGUCAACCUUAGCCCACUGCAACAGAGUCAUAGCUCCAUGAGCAGAUAAAUUAAGCACUGCAACUGUAGGUGCAGGAAAAAAGUAGAAGUAGAAAUUAAGUAGGUGCAGAAAUAAUUUAAAUUUAAGUACAGAAAUACAGUAGAAGUAGAAGUAGAAGUAGAAGCAAAAAUAAACUGUGGAUGCAGUAAUGAAACUAAGUACUCCCUCCAUGCUAGGAAAGAAGACCUACAAGUUUGUUGGAUUAACUUGGCCAAACUUUACAUUGUUUGACUUUGACCAAAACUGACAUGCCUUCUUUUAAAGAAGGGAGGGAGUAUUAAAUUUAAAUAUGAAAUGGUGUUGUGGUAACAAAGUGAGCUGCUGGUACCCAGAACAAAAAACCUUCCAGCUCAUUGGUGAGCAACCUCACUGAAGCUCCUACGAAUAGGAAAAUGUUGUCUUCCCCGCGGCUGCACUCCGCCGCGACCGGAGCGCAGUCCCCACUGCACUUCUCAGGUAAUUGCUCAAUAAAUCAUUUUAUGACUAAUAUUUUUUUACCAGUACACUAAUUUUAUAACAGAAAAUACCGCCUUCCCACGGUCAUGGAUAAUACAUCAGCCUACUCAUGUUCCUGACUUGAAAUCAGCCAAAUCAAAGCUACUACAUAUCAAAAUCAUAAAUAGUAAUUAUAUUUCAGGAGGUGCAAAUUAGUUGUGUUCUCUACUGGACUGAAGCCAGUCAAGUCACAACUAAUACAUACCGACGUGAGGUAUCUUCCCGAUUAGCUACAUCAUAAUCAUCAAACCAAGGAAAAAGUCAAACACUGGACAACCCGCCUGGCUGAAGCAUGUUAUUCUCAAAGACAUGAAGUUUCUACUUCACAUGGAACUUAACUAAGAUCAGAAAAAUAACAAUUAGUAGAUGAUUUCCUAUUUGAUUCUUUUUUCAAUAAGAAACUGGCCAAAGACAUCCAAAUCGCAAACGAAUAUUGUGAAGACAACCACAAUGACAAUAGGGAAUGUGCGAAAAGAAUGUAUUGUAUUUGUACUUAAUAUUGAGGUAUACCCUCAAUUUCUAAUUCCUAUUUGAACUGAAAGAAGAGCACAAGAAAACACCCAGUUUUGUUUACCUUGCAUUUGCAUCAUACAUAACAGCUGCUAUGUAGCAGUGCAAGAAUCAGCCAGGUAAAAAUGGAAAGAAACUGACAUACAAAAAAUCUAAUACAAUGAAUUUGCAUAGGAACAACACAACAUAUGCCUUGGGAAGUAGGCCAGCGAAAGAAAAAGGCUCAUAGCUCAGUCAAUCCAAUGGACCAACAACUUACAAAAAACAUAAUAAGACAUAGACAAUACGGUGACGAUGGCAAGAGCUAGAUUAAGGAGCAUAAUCCAGUGGUAUUUACAACGAGUAGAAAUUGUCAUAAGUAGCUAGGGAAGGCAGGAAGGGCCAACGGUGGUCCAAUUGUGAUAUUUACAACACAUAACAGUUGAUUCAUUAAGAAAGCUAAAUAAAGGGAUAGUAUCGACAGUGGCUUGACAUAGUUCCAUGAGUGUCAAAAGCCCUGACGUAGAACCCUGACCACCAGAGGCCCAAUUUUUUUUCCUCUGCGGCAUUAGCAAGACACCAUCCCCAGGAAUUUCAAUUUCUAAUCCAGCAAGGAGAUGCCCAUCCCAUCAACCUCACAUAGGUGGCUAGGAGGAGGCAAACCACAGUGUGCAGCCACUGUUUCUAGAAUCGGCCUGACAAAAGAUAUUAUGCCACAGAUGCCGGCCAUAUGAAACAAUGAGACAACAACAACCAACACAGAAAGUACGCAGGCAGCAAGCAACAACGAAUAGAAAUAAUAAUUGAGAUGAACCAAUAAUAGGUAAGAAAAGGCACAACACACGGGACACACACAGUUAGAACUGAAUAAAGACAAAAUAUCAAAUGAACAUAAGAAAGUAAGCUUCAAGGAGGAAGAUGAAACCUUGAAAAGCCGAAAGAGAACAGCCAACGAUGCGUAUGAGAUGAAUCACAGAAGAACUUCGACAAGGGAUAAACUGCAGCAUGACCUGCAACACAUGUAAAUAUAGGAAAACGUUAGCAGGCAAAGAAUAAAUCAUAGAACACCACUGUAUUGUUGUAUUGCAAUAUACCUCUAUUUCUGCAACAAGAAAAUAAGUGUGGGCAAGACUAUAUAAAGGAAACAGAUUGUUAGUUGAAGAGAGGGUACUUGACACUUUUCUCUUUUCCUUUAAUGGUGUUUACAACAUCUCCUGGC